UUUAUCAAGUCUACUUUUGAUGGGUAUUUGGUAGUUACCAGUUUUUGGUUCUUGCAAAUCGUGCUGCUAUCAACAUUCUAGUCCACAAUAACGGAUGUCUGUGGGGUCUGUGGAAUUGCAGUUCCAUAGGACUUGCGUAUUUUUAGCUUUAGUGGAUUCUGCAAGUCUUGGCAAUUUACCCUACCACCAAGUUGCAUGAAGGUCUUGGUUGCUCUACAUGCUCAUUAACAUUUGGUAUUUGUUAUCUUAGCUGUUCUGGUGAGGAAGUAAUGGUGUUUCAUGUGGUUCUAACUGACAUUUCUCUAAUGACUAAUGUAUUUGAGCACCUUUUUAUAAAAUUUUUUCUCUUUCAGCUGUACAUUGAAUUUUUAAAUACCAAAAUUAUGUGGGGUUUUUUUUAGGGUUUCAGAAAGAUUUUUCUGUGUUGAGAAUUCUCUAAAGGAAUAUCAAGCUGUUCUAAAGAACUGAAAUUUGAGCAUAGUUAAAAGAAAGUGACCAUUUAGAGGAGGAUUUUAUUUCAACACUAACAUUAAGUUUAGUUAAUUUCUAUUACAGUUCUGUAACAUUUUAUUUUUAUUAAAUAGAACCCUGGAAAAGGCAUAUACAAUCAGCACCUAAGCAAAAUGUUCAUCAUCUAAACAAUGUUCCAACUAAGAAAGCUUAUCCAUCCAUCCAAGGAAAAAGAAGAGUUCUUUAAAGUGGUUUAGGCCACACCACCUUCGUAACUCUGCAAAUGAAAAGAAUUCCGGACAAGAUAAAUAACAAGAGAAAAUUCAUGGGGGCCACCAUGAAAAUCUCAAGUGUGGAGGCCUGUGGAAACGACUCUGAUGGGUAGUUGGUGCUUAUUGAGUAAUAGUGGGAAAUUCACUGGAAAAAAGGGUGGUCCCAGAUCAUGGAGGGCCUUAAAAGGCAGCAGAAUUCUUCUGUACUAUCUGGAACAUACUUGAACCCCUAAGGUCAAAGCCUCUUUGUUGCUGAUGUUAAGAAAGCAGCUCUCUGCUGAAGUUCCAGCUUGCUUCUAUUCACUGACAUCCCAUAGAGCCUUCUGGUGUGGUGUAAAAGCAAUUAAAUGACAUUUGUGCUCCACAUGUUUUGAAAAUGUCAUGGUUUUUUAAGUGUCAUAUUAUUUAGAAAUCUAUUCUAUUUGAUCCUACAUGGAGAAAAGUCACCUCCAUACAUUUCUUAACACUUCCAGGUAAAGGAACUUAUUCCAAGAAAGAAAAUAUCUUGCUUUACUUUUUUUAUAUUAAAAUGGGAAAUGUAUCAGAACCAGUCUUUAUAGAGCAUUUAUUAAACCCCAGUGAGAAUACAAAACAUACUAUUAGCUCUGACUAAACUAUGAAAGAUAUUAUUUAUAAACUCAGAGAACUUACUCAGUGUGGGAAUGUUAUUAAUGCAUGUGAAGUUUAACUGAUAAUAGGUUUAAGAGGGACGUUGAAAAAGAAUAGUAGGGGAGCAACUUGUAAAUAUUAGAUGACUUAAUAGUCCAGUAUCUUCAUACUGUCUUAUUUUCUCUACUGGCACCAGGAAUGAUAGAUUAUUAUUGUUGUUGUUGUUAUCUAAUCAUGUGCCUCUUUUUAUGUGAAGAUUUGUUUUAUUUAUUUUUAAAAUAUUUU